UCGCAAAAUUGACUAAGUUGC
rnacentral:piRNA from 1 species